CAUUAACAGUUGAUGGGCAGCAGGUGCUGGUUUCUUCCUGCUGCACUGCAGCUGGGUGCUGUGGGUGCCUGCAAUGUUUAGUCCCUUGCACUUCCAGCUGUGGUGUAAUUGUGCUGUUUCACUUGCCUUCUUUUUCUCAUCCUUGUGAACUUGAUGUGUUUCUUCUUGGUAAAUGUGGUGGCUUGCUCCUUUGGGAAACUGGUGCUGUGAGGAGAUGGCUGCUGUAAAACUUGCCUGAAGAAAAGGUGGGAAUUGCUGUCCCAGCUGCUGUGGGUUCCAUGAUGGUGUUAAGCUUUUCUAAAUACAGUUGCACAGUGCUGGCAAUUCCAGCCCAUGCUGUGCAAGCAGCUCACCUGCACUGAGAUGGUCUCUGUCCAGAAAAUAGUUUUGUGUUUAAAACUCGGCCCGGGCGUGUGCUUUCUAUAGUUGAUUCCACCAGGUGUCCAGCCUGCGGUCCUCUUUUGAUAUUUAUGAGGUCAAAGUUUUACACUUUCAGUGACUCAUUUUCCGUGCUGCGCUGUUGAGUUAAUUUAAAGCCGAGCAAAAGGAUGAAACCGUGGAUUGAGGGGUCAGAGCAAAAAGUAUAUUCAUUUUUUAGGCUAAGGAGCUGAGGCCUUUCCCUUUUAAGAGAAUCAGAAUUUUGGGUUAAUCUCUAACUUCUGAUAAAAUUCUUGCCCUUUUCCCUGGAGGUUGCAUUCAUUCUCCGGGGAAGAUUGUUUGCCAAAGGUUCUCUGAGCAUACAUUCCAUAAGCAAGGAACCUUGCUGAGAAGUGUGCCACUGGACCUACCCGUGCAGGUGGAGAGAGCCAGCCAGCCAAGUGUCAGUGCAAGAGGGGCUUCCCAUGCACUGUUUAGUGGGCAAAGCUUGCUGCAGCUGAGGAAAUCAUGGAAUUGGCAUCAUGAACCCAGGACGUGGAGAACUGAUGGAGGAAUGCAAUAGAUGAACUGGACUGAAUUUUAUGGAAGAUAACAGUGUAUUUAGAAACAGUUUGCAGCUAAGAGCCAAUGAAAAAGAAGUACUGGAGUAGGUAGUACACACUUGGAAAUCCUGAUGCCAUUGACUUCAGAGUCAGAAAAAUUUGGAACCUGGUGCUUGUUAUCGUCCAUGGGAUAGCAGGUGUUCAAUCAAAGUUGUUAAUGUAUUUUCUGCGGCUCUCGUAUACUUUAAAAGCAGAUUAUGCCUAAACUUCUGUGUCUCUUCAGCACUCCAGAGAGUUCUACCACUAUGUGUAAAGCCUGAAGAAAGUACAGUUUCUCCUUGAUGAUGCUAGAAGGCCAAUAGAAUGCAAGAAGACAGAAGAUCUCUGCUUUUAAUUUUAAUAUGUCCUCUAACAGCAGUUACCGAAAUCCUUUCUCACCCUUACUAUUGAAGAACAGGACAUGCUUACUCACUUUAAGGUAUUAGAAUACUGUUGAGUUGCAAAUAAAAUUUAAUUCCUGCUUUUCAGUGGAGGUACAAUGCCAGUAAAUUUGGUCAGCAGAAUCAAACAGUUUGAGCCACAAACAGCUCCAGCUCAGUGACUGAGAGCAGAUUCUUUUCCUUUUUAAUCUUUUGAGUGCCUGCUUACAUGUGUGGGAAGUGUGGAAAUGGUAGCAGGCUUCAAAACAAAAAGUCUGGGAACUAGUUUACAUGUGCAAAAUUCUUCUCUCCCACUGGCAGUGUCAGAAAUGGCUGAGCUGAUCAGGAUGAAGGCAUCAAAAAUGAAAAAAAAAUAAAAUAAAAAAAAAAAGCUCAAGCCAAGUGAAAGAGAGACUCAUAGAAGAUGUCAUCUUAAAUAGGUAAAGUUUGAGCCAGAUAAAGCAGAGUGUUAAAAUAAGAGCAAUGCUGCAGUGUUAGUAUUCUGUGCUACCUGUAACUCCCUGAAUAACAGCACCAAAUAAUUAUGAUAGUAUUUUGUGUAUUUUAAGUACUAGUGAGAAUAAAGCUUUCUGCUAUAAUUUCUAUUAAUUCACACAAGUUUUCAUAACCUAGCUAUAGAACAAGUGAGGAGGAAUUGCUCAGCUCCUUUCCUUUAUUAUGAGCUAUGUUAUUUUGCUGGAGCUCAGAAGAGGUUUAAGAAUUAUAUCAUCAGAAAAGAAAAUCAAUUUUAUUGGUUGAUUUAUUUUUCUUUUAUACUUCACCUUUUAGGAGGCAAUUAUCUCUACUGCAUAAUUUCAUAUUUUUAAGCCAGCAUGUAAAUUAACUAUGAAGAUAUGUAGAUUCAUUUUGGAACAGACUCAAGCUUAUUCAUUUGUCAGAUGUGAUUAUAAUGUAUCUUAACAAGUUUAAUAA